UCUAUGCGCACAUGGCUCCAAUCUUACCGAUGGCACGCACAACAUCUGUUGCAUGGUUACAGUAGAGAUUCAACAAGUCAUGUUUUAUUGCUGCGAGUGCUGAGUAGUGUGGUUAUAAUUACUUUAUUUGGCCUGCCGCCUCGUUGGAGCGCAAAGGAUGGAUAACAAAGUUUAAGGGCGCAAGGAGGCAGAGCUGAGCAUGAAUGAGAUGGCUAUCCUGUCAUCAACUGCAUCCAAGUUCCGCUGAACAUCGGUCUCAACGUUCAAUCUGUAAUAUUUAGGUGUCCUGCUAGUCAAAAUAAAGCUUUCAUUUGACAUAUAC
rnacentral:lncRNA from 1 species